rnacentral:tRNA from 1 species
AAAUAAAAAAAUUAUCAUUUAUUUUCUUUAAAAAAGGAAAUAUUAAUUUAAUUAAUUA